rnacentral:sRNA from 1 species
AAUACAUAAUUAAGAUUUUAAUAUAGUUUCUGAAUGUUAUCUAAUACUUUAACGACACAAGAAAUUUGUUAAGUCAUACAUUUGUAUAUAAUCAGAUUUAACUAUUUUCGAGAUUAGCAAACUUUUGACUUAGAUGUUGAAAAACAACAAUCCAUCCAUUAGAGUAUCUCACGAAACUGAAUAGUUAUCGUGUAAGCCUAAAUCUAGUUAGAGGAUGUAAAAUUGUUACUUUUUCUGCAGUUGAGGUACAAAAGUUCAAUCAGUUUAGUUUUGAUGUGUCUGUAGAUUUCAAUAUACACUUUUUUUUUAAUUCUUUUUAAUUUCAGAUCCUUGGGAAUGAGUCAUCUAUAACGGUUUAAUUGCAUGGUUCCCCUCAUUAAAAUUGCUUGGGAGAGGACUUACUUGCUGAGUGGAUGCAUCAAACUCUAACGUCAAUAGUUUUUUUUU